GAUGAACGCUAGCGGCAGGCCUAACACAUGCAAGUCGAGGGGUAACAGAGUUUGCUUGCAAACUGCUGACGACCGGCGCACGGGUGCGGAACGCGUAUGGAACCUGCCCCUGUCAGGGGAAUAGCCCAGAGAAAUUUGGAUUAAUGCCCCAUGGUAUCCCGAUACUGCCUGGUAUUGGGAUUAAAGAUUUAUCGGACAGGGAUGGCCAUGCGUACCAUUAGCUAGUUGGUGGGGCAACGGCCCACCAAGGCAACGAUGGUUAGGGGCCCUGAGAGGGGGAUCCCCCACACUGGUACUGAGACACGGACCAGACUCCUACGGGAGGCAGCAGUGAGGAAUAUUGGACAAUGGUCGGGAGACUGAUCCAGCCAUGCCGCGUGCAGGAUGACGGCCCUAUGGGUUGUAAACUGCUUUUGUACGGGAAGAAACCCAUCUACGUGUAGAUGGCUGACGGUACCGUAAGAAUAAGGACCGGCUAACUCCGUG
rnacentral:rRNA from 1 species